rnacentral:rRNA from 1 species
GAUUUCUGGCUUGAAACAUUUGGCCGGCCACGGUUUCGUGUGUUAGUGCUUUGUGUUCUGGCCAUCCUUCCAAUCGCUGUCGGCGCUGUUCUUCAUUGAGCAGUGUUCCGGCGGUAUUGGAUCUUUUACUUUGAAAAAAUUAGAGUGUUUCAAGCAGGCUUUUAUGCUGUGAAUACAUUAGCAUGGAAUAAUAAUUUAGGACUUCGGUUCUAUUUUGUUGGUUUCUAGGACUGAAGUAAUGAUUGAUAGGGAUAGUUGGGGGUGCUAGUAUUCAGCGGCCAGAGGUGAAAUUCUCGGAUUCGCUGAAGACUAACUUAUGCGAAAGCAUU